rnacentral:rRNA from 1 species
UACAGAGGUCCCAAGCGUUGUUCGGAUUCACUGGGCGUAAAGGGUGCGUAGGCGGUCGGGUAAGUCUGACGUGAAAUCUCCAAGCUCAACUUGGAAAUGGCGUCGGAUACUAUUCGGCUGGAGGAAUGGAGGGGAGACUGGAAUUCUCGGUGUAGCAGUGAAAUGCGUAGAUAUCGAGAGGAACACCAGUGGCGAAGGCGGGUCUCUGGGCCGAUACUGACGCUGAGGAGCGAAAGCGUGGGGAGCGAACAGG